UGAUUACAGUAAUGCUGCUUUUUAAUAUCCCUCAUGAUUUGACACCUUGUCAGGGUUACUUUGGAAUACUGUCAAAGUCUUGGGCAGGGUAAACACCUUUGGAGAUUGAUCUAGCCCUGUACUUAAUUAAAGCUAACACUUUGAUCAGAUCAGUGUCAGAAGAUUACUUCUCCAUUGCCUUCAGAAAUACUCUAGUAACUCUUUCCUUACUGCUUCACAGCCUCCCCUGGUGAAGACACAAACUGUCACCAUCUCAGAUAAUGCCAAUGCUGUGAAAAGUGAAAUCCCAACCAAAGACGUCCCUAUUGUCCACACUGAGACCAAGACCAUCACUUAUGAGGCUGCCCAGACUGACGACAACAAUGGAGACUUGGACCCAGGAGUCUUGCUGACAGCUCAGACUAUCACAUCUGAGACCCCAAGCAGCACCACCACAACUCAAAUUACCAAGGUAACAGACCAGCUAGAACCUCUUUAUGGAACCCAGGGGCAGGCUAAGCUUGCUGCCACCUCUCUGCAAGAAGGACCCUAGUCCAUAAGCAAAUAUUUUCAGCUCCAUCCCUAGUAAGCCACAUUAUUCAAAGAGUCCUGGAUGGAAAGGCCCUGCUGCCUUCCCCAGCAAUAAAUCUAGGGAGAUACCCUGAGAGUAUCCCUGCCUACUUAGUAGUCUCCUAAAGGUAGGUGUGGUUGUUCUCUUUACACAUCUGUCUGUCUGGUCAGUGAGUCCCCUGUUUGGCUGUGGAAGUAAGUUU
rnacentral:sRNA from 1 species